CCUACGGGCGGCAGCAGUGGGGAAUAUUGGACAAUGGGGGCAACCCUGAUCCAGCCAUGCCGCGUGUGUGAAGAAGGCCCUCGGGUUGUAAAGCACUUUCAGUGAGGAAGAACGCCUGGUGGUUAAUACCCAUCAGGAAAGACAUCACUCACAGAAGAAGCACCGGCUAACUCCGUGCCAGCAGCCGCGGUAAUACGGAGGGUGCGAGCGUUAAUCGGAAUUACUGGGCGUAAAGCGCGCGUAGGUGGCUUGAUAAGCCGGUUGUGAAAGCCCCGGGCUCAACCUGGGAACGGCAUCCGGAACUGUCAAGCUAGGGUGCAGGAGAGGAAGGUAGAAUUCCCGGUGUAGCGGUGAAAUGCGUAGAGAUCGGGAGGAAUACCAGUGGCGAAGGCGGCCUUCUGGACUGACACUGACACUGAGGUGCGAAAGCGUGGGUAGCAAACAGGAUUAGAUACCCUUGUAGUC
rnacentral:rRNA from 1 species